rnacentral:rRNA from 1 species
GAUGAACGCUAGCGGCAGGCCUAAUACAUGCAAGUCGAACGGUGUAGCAAUACACAGUGGCGCACGGGUGCGUAACACGUAUGCAACCUACCUUACAUUGGGGGAUAGCCUUUCGAAAGGGAGAUUAAUACCGCAUAAGACAGUAACUGGGCAUCCAGUAGCUGUUAAAGAUUUAUCGAUGUAAGCUGGGCAUGCGUCCAAUUAGUUAGUUGGCGAGGUAAUGGCUCACCAAGACGAUGAUUGGUAGGGGAACUGAGAGGUCAAUCCCCCACACUGGCACUGAGAUACGGGCCAGACUCCUACGGGAGGCAGCAGUAGGGAAUAUUGGGCAAUGGGCGCAAGCCUGACCCAGCCAUACCGCGUGCAGGAAGAAGGCGUUAUGCGUUGUAAACUGCUUUUAUACAGGAAGAAACGACCCUUGCGAGGGGCAUUGACGGUACUGUAUGAAUAAGCACCGGCUAACUCCGUGCCAGCAGCCGCCGUAACAC